rnacentral:misc_RNA from 1 species
GAUGAAGGAACGUAGCGAAAUGCGAUAAGUAAUGUGAAUUGCAGAAUUCAGUGAAUCAUCGAAUCUUUGAACGCACAUUGCGCCCCCUGGUAUUCCGGGGGGCAUGCCUGUCCGAGCGUCAUUGCUGCCCUCAAGCACGGCUUGUGUGUUGGGCCUCCGUCCUCCUCCCGGGGGACGGGCCCGAAAGGCAGCGGCGGCACCGCGUCCGGUCCUCGAGCGUAUGGGGCUUCGUCACCCGCUCUUGUAGGCCCGGCCGGCGCUUGCCGACACAUCAAUCUUUUUUCCAGGUUGACCUCGGAUCAGGUAGGGAUACCCGCUGAACUUAAGCAUAUCAAUAAGCGGAGGA